rnacentral:lncRNA from 11 species
GCAUCACAAAUAUAUGCAUGUGAAAGGCAAGACACGUCUUCUCAGAGAUAGUGUGUCAAGAAAUUCUGGAGAGAAAGAGAAAUAAUCCAGAAAGGAUGACAGUAUCAGGUGCAUGAAUAUUGCUCUCUCACCGAAGACAAUCUUGGUGCAUGUCCAGAGGCCACUACUGAAAAUGAUGAGAAAAAGAGAGAGAGAGAACAACUAAGCUGCAACAAACCAUUUAUGGGGAGAUUUGGACCUGCAAAAAAUGUAGAUUUCAUCUCCCAGAAGCCUGAGCCAACAAGGACAAUGGGUUAAGAAAUUCAAAACCACGGAUUGUGAUAGCUCAAAGCAGUUUCUUGGAAGGCUCAAAAGACCACUACUUCUGCUCUAAAAGCAAGAUGGUCUCUUGCAUUUUACAGGUAAGAUAUACAUUAUGAUCCCCUGUAGUUCCAUCUGAACUUAAACUGAAAUCCCAUCACAU